rnacentral:rRNA from 1 species
CCCUUAGAUGUUCUGGGCCGCACGCGUGCUACACUGACCGGCGCAACAAGUUUCUUUCCUUGGCUCGAUAGACCUGGGUAAUCUUUGAACGCCGGUCGUGAUGGGGAUAGAUCCUUGCAAUUUUUGAUCUUCAACGAGGAAUUCCUAGUAAAUGCGAGUCAUCAUCUCGCGUUGAUUACGUCCCUGCCCUUUGUACACACCGCCCGUCGCACCUACCGAUUGAAUGGUCCGGUGAAGCCUCGGGAUUGCGAAUGCUUCGUGCGGACGCGAGAACUUGGCUAAACCUUACCAUUUAGAGGAAGGUGAAGUCGUAACA